AAUGGCCUGAAACGGUGUGAAAGAUAUUAUAGUUUUUGUGCACCUAUAUAUAGUGCAUCGACAUCUGUGCACCCAAAGGACAACACAUUAUACGAACACUUGGGCUAAAAAUUACUAGUAGCGGAUUGUUCUGGGAAGAGUCCUGAAAAAUCAUAUGUAUUCAAAAGGCAUUUCUUUUAAUAGAUGCCACUUUUUUGGGCGAUAUUUUA